rnacentral:pre_miRNA from 1 species
GACGUACUCCCUUCGUUUGGAAUUACUUGUCACGGAAAUGGAUGUAUCUAGACGUAUUUUAAUUUUAGAUACAUUCAUUUUCAAGACAAGUAAUUUCGAACGGAGGAAGUAUAUA